rnacentral:rRNA from 1 species
CUUGUAGGUGGCUUGUCGCGUCUGCCGUGAAAUUCCGCAGCUUAACUAUGGUAGUGCGGUGGGUACGGGCAGGCUUGAGUGUGGUAGGGGAGACUGGAAUUCCUGGUGUAGCGGUGGAAUGCGCAGAUAUCAGGAGGAACACCGGUGGCGAAGGCGGGUCUCUGGGCCAUUACUGACGCUGAGGAGCGAAAGCGUGGGAGCGAACA